UAGGGAAUCUUCGGCAAUGGACGAAAGUCUGACCGAGCAACGCCGCGUGAGUGAAGAAGGUUUUCGGAUCGUAAAACUCUGUUGUUAGAGAAGAACAAGGACGUUAGUAACUGAACGUCCCCUGACGGUAUCUAACCAGAAAGCCACGGCUAACUACGUGCCAGCAGCCGCGGUAAUACGUAGGUGGCAAGCGUUGUCCGGAUUUAUUGGGCGUAAAGCGAGCGCAGGCGGUUUCUUAAGUCUGAUGUGAAAGCCCCCGGCUCAACCGGGGAGGGUCAUUGGAAACUGGGAGACUUGAGUGCAGAAGGGGAGAGUGGAAUUCCAUGUGUAGCGGUGAAAUGCGUAGAUAUAUGGAGGAACACCAGUGGCGAAGGCGGCUCUCUGGUCUGUAACUGACGCUGUGGCUCGAAGGCGUGGGGGGCAAACAGG
rnacentral:rRNA from 1 species